GACGUAGGGCGCGAGCGUUGUCCGGAUUUAUUGGGCGUAAAGAGCUCGUAGGCGGUCUGUUGCGUCCGCUGUGAAAACUCGGGGCUUAACCCCGAGCCUGCAGUGGAUACGGGCAGACUAGAGGUAGGUAGGGGAGAAUGGAAUUCCCGGUGUAGCGGUGAAAUGCGCAGAUAUCGAGAGGAACACCGGUGGCGAAGGCGGUUCUCUGGGCCUUACCUGACGCUGAGGAGCGAAAGCGUGGGGAGCGAACAGG
rnacentral:rRNA from 1 species